GAUGAACGCUGGCGGCGUGCCUAAUACAUGCAAGUCGAGCGAACGGACGAGAAGCUUGCUUCUCUGAUGUUAGCGGCGGACGGGUGAGUAACACGUGGACAACCUACCUAUAAGACUGGGAUAACUUCGGGAAACCGUAGCUAAUACCGGAUAAUAUUUUGAACCGCAUGGUUCAAAAGUGAAAGACGGUCUUGCUGUCACUUAUAGAUGGAUCCGCGCUGCAUUAGCUAGUUGUUAAGGUAACGGCUUACCAAGGCAACGAUGCAUAGCCGACCUGAGAGGGUGAUCGGCCACAUUGGAACUGGACCACGGUCCAGACUACUACGGGACGCACCAGUAGCGAAUCUUCCGCAGCGGGCGAAAGCAUGACGGAGCAACGCCGCGUGAGAGGUGGAGGUCCUCGGAUCGUAAAACUCUGUUAUUAGUGGAAAACAUAUGUGUAAGUAACUGUGCACAUCUUGACGGUAACUAAUCAGAAAGCCACGGCUAACUACGUG
rnacentral:rRNA from 1 species